AGCCCCAGACCAGAUUCUCAGCAUGGAGCUGACACAGCAGCUUGUGCCAGCUUUGCCCAUCCAAAUGCACACCACUGCCAGCAGACCAGGGCUGGCUGGCUUCCCCUGAGAUGGUCUGAGGAGGAGCUGGAGAAGGACGAGCUCGUUUAAGAUGACACGAACCGACCCACCUGGCAUACUGGUGUCUACGGUGUAUCAAGACCUGGAGGUGAAGUGCCCUACAUCUGCAGAUUCCAUCGUCUGCCAGCCAUUGAUGCCACAAUGUGACGCCUUCAUGUCUGCAUCUCUGCCACGUGACCCGCAGCCCUUCAAUAAGCGCCACUGUAGGAGCUUUGACUUUCUUGAGUCGCUUGACGAGCAGCUGGCCUGUGCUCCUGCUAUGGAGCGCCCCUGCCGGCGCCCAGGCACCCCCGAGCCAUCCUCAGGUUCUGGAGGCAGGAAGGCUCCUCCCAGGUCAGACGUUCAGAACACCAGGCCUCACCCUCAUGGGAGGGAAGUCCCCAAGGAGCCCCUGGCUCGGGCGGAGCCAAAGAGGCGAGCAAGAUCCAAGAGCACCCCUCGGGUGAAAUCUACCUUCGCUCCCAUUCCCAUACAGAUGUCAUCCUCAUCUCCUGCCCCAUCGGCCAGGAGGGGACGGGAGGCUCUGCGCCUCGCCAGGGAUCCUGCGAGGACAGAAAUGUCCCCACGCAGGGAGAGUGGCUACACUCCCAUGAAAGCUCUGAUGAAUGAGGUGCACCCCAUCAAGCUGCAGCCCCAGCGGAGCAGCACCAGCCGCAUCUCUCCACUCUGCAUCAGCAGCAACUGUCCAGAGGAGGCCCCAGGCGGGAGGCCGACCACAAGCCUUCAUGUCAAGUGCCGGAUGGACAUGAAGCCAGAUGAGGCAGUGCUGGUGCACACGGCACGCAGCUUGAAGGCCCAGAGCAGGAUGGAGUUGCCAAGCUGGCCGAGGCCACCGGGCACUGUUCGGAGCCUGACCAUCCCAAGCAGCAGGCACGUGUCUGUGUCCCGCACUCCCACGCCCAGCGACUCCUACAGCGGGGAGCACCGGGUGCUGCGCUACCCCAACGAGUACUAUGAAGGUGACCCCCGGGUUCGGGCUUACCAGGCCAUGCCCUCCCCACGGGAUUAUCCUGAGAGGGGAUGCGUGACCUUCUCUGCCCCCAACGUGCCCACCCAGUUCUUCUACACAGAGGAGCCAACAGGGUGCCUUGGCUCCAGCAUCCCACUGAAAAGUUCUGGCUAUGAGGCGUGCACUCGCCCAUACCCAGGGUGCCACGUCCCUCCACAGGCCUUCUAUGCAGAGGACCCUGCCAAAGGGAAUGUCCGUACCAUCCCACCCCAGACUCUCUACGUGGAAGAAGCUCGGACCUAUCCUAUCCAAGAAGCCCCUGCCCACACUUUCUAUAGAGAAGACCCUCGAAUCUAUGCCUCCAGAGGUGUCCCCACCAAACCCCUCUAUCCAGAGGACCCCAGGCUGUAUCCUGCCCUGAACUCCUCCUCCCGGUUGUUCUACACUGAGGAUUAUGGCAAAUAUCAUGAGAGAGAAGCUAUUUCGCGGACAUACCCUCAUGCCCGUAGCACCCAGCCUUUACAGUUCAGCGACUGGUACUGUCCAGACCGGAGUGCACUCCCCUACCAGACUUUGCAGAUGUCCCGCUUAGCACCUCACCCCUCUGGGCAGGAGGCCUUGCUUUCCUCCUGGCAUGCCAGCUACAGCGCCAACCAGCCCCGCUUAGGCACAGACACCCGGCAUUACUCCAGAUCCUGGGACAACAUCCUGACGUCCAGUGCGCGCAGGGAGGACCCCCUGUUCCGUGGGCGCAGCUAUGAGAACCUGCUGGCCCGGGAGCAGCACCGUGCCUUAUCCCCGGACAACAGGCGGCAGCCCGUGGUGAUCAACCUGUCCAGCUCCCCCAAGCGCUACGCAGCACUGUCCCUCUCCGAGAAUUCCAUCCUGGAGAAGAUGCAUGCGGACAGUGGGCGCUGCCCUCUGGGCCGCUCCUGGUUUGUCACCCCAGAAAUCACCAUCACUGAUAAUGACAUCAAAGCCAAUGGGCUGAGCCAGAGUGAGAAGCGCUCAGCCAGCUGGGAUGUACUGGAUGCUGGGCAGGAUGGGCGUCGCCCCUACCCCACACACUACCACUCGGCUCCCCCUGCCAAAGAGAGCACCCAGACCAGCUCUUCCCGCCAGCCCUGCCUGGACCAGCUGGACGAACUGAUCACAGACCUGGUCAUCGACUCCAAGCCCCCGCCCAGCCACCACCCCAGCAAUGGGCACAGCCUGGCAGACCAGCUCAAGCGGCUGAUUGACAAUGGCGCACCCAUACCCCCCCAGAAGCUGGAUGCUAGGAAACCACUGCCUUUGCUGGUAGGGGAGCCCCGGCCCACCAAGGAGCAGCCAGGCCCCAGUUCCUUCCACAGAGAUGUGUGCAAGGAGCAGGGUGGCCGUGCACUCGCCAUGUCUGUCUCCAGCAGCAGCUUUGAGAAGCAGCAGGAUGACUGCUCCCCGGAGCUGAGUGCGGACGAGGACGACAUGAUGAUGUGUUCAAAUGCCAAGUGCAGGCGCACAGAGACCAUGUUCAAUGCCUGUCUCUACUUCAAGUCCUGCCACAGCUGCUACACCUACUACUGCUCCCGGAGCUGCCGCCGCGAGGACUGGGACACCCACAAGGAGAACUGCGUCUACGGGCGUAUCGGGAGCGUCUGCCGCCAUGUGCUGCAGUUCUGCCGAGAGGAUGCCGAGGUGCACAAGGCCUUCUCGCGCAUUGCCAAGGUGGGCUACCUGUCCCGGGGGCGAGGGGUGCUGUUCCUGGGCUUCCCCAGCUCGGGCUCGGCCGAGAACUUCCUGCAGUUUGGCUUGGAGAGCCUGCUGAUGUCCCCCACCUACUUGUCCCUGCGGGAGCUGGAGGGCUAUGCAGAGAGCCUAGGAGACUAUGCCCGGGAGCUGGUGGGCGCUGGCAGCCAGUACGACCCUGAGGAAUGUUUCCUCUUGAAUGUAACUGUGGCUGUGGGACAUGCAGUCCCUGUGAGGCCAUCUCCCAAGGUGCAGGUGCCGACAGUCAGGAAAUACGCCAAGGUGGCCUUAGCCUCCGCCAGCCCCGAAAAGCAGAUCUUGAAGAAGGAGCGGGAUAUGGAGACCUUGAUCCUGACCCCCCCGCCUGGCACGGCAGAUAUGGACCAGGAGGGUGAGGAAGGGCGCAAGGCCCGGGAGGUCUGCUUCAUCAACAUCCAGCGGGAGCUGCGGACCCGCGGCGUCUUCCUGCGCCAUGAGUUCCCCAAGAUCUACGCGCAGCUCUGUGACUUCGUGGAGAGCAACAAGAGGUUCACGCCCACCACCAUCUACCCCAUUGACAAGCGGACCGGCAAGCAGUUCCUGUGUAUGAUCAUGGCUGCCUCUGAGCCACGGACCUUGGACUGGGUCGCCAGCCCUAACCUGCUGGAUGACAUCAUAUGACCAGCCCUCCACACCAUGCAGGCCUUCUGUGUAUUGCCCUUUGCAGACAGAGCACGAGCUCUAAGCAAGGCCAGGAGAGCAGCCGGCCUUCUGGUGCUGCCUCAGCCAACUAGAGCCCAGGGCGCCGGUUUGGCCACAUUUACCGUGCAGGAGAGGUGGGAGAGCAGCAAGAGGAGAGCAGCAGGGAAUCUGGCAGGCUGCCAAACACAGGAUGCAAGCAGGUGAUACUAAAGCCCUGCCUUCAUUUGGGUCAGAACUCCCAGGGCACAUCCUGAGCUGCUCCAUGCAGGCCAAUGCAAAGGGAGUGAACCCAGAAACACCGUGUGCCCUUCCUGCGAGCACUGGGUGGUUUUACCCAAGGGAAUCACAGUGCUUUCACUCUCUAUGCUGUGUGCUUCCCUGGGACUGGCUGGUUAGCGUCAGUUUCUAUGCUCCAGCUAGGGCUGUCAAGGAAAUGUGCUGGCUUUCACAGACCAGUCUGUUCUGUUGUCAUUCUUGGACGGUCUACUCCUCCGCUACCUUGUCAAGGCUCAUUUCUUACUAGCCCUGCUUUUGGGGCCAAGUUUGACCCAGCCAAGUGUGAUGCCUCCAUCCUGGCUACCAGACUGACUGCCUAGGGUUCAUUCUGGGACUAUCAGAGCUUGACCCCUGAAUUGUGGAGGCAUAGGCAGCCUGGGGGUCUGUGACUGGAGCCCCCUGGAGGUGAAUGGGGGGGAUUGUUGGGGCAUAAGCCCCAUUUGCUGAUAUGGCCACGUGUAAUGGAUCAAGGAGCUUAACUGACCUUUCCCCCAGACAAUUCUGUUACUCACCUGCUCUAGGCACUUCUGUGGGCUCAAGGUGUAACCUAUUAAUGUAGGCACCCGCACCCCUACCCGGUUUCUAGAGCGCAAGACAUAAUCUUUUGCAGGUUUGUGGGGCCUUUUAGCUGCAAAAGGUCCUUACACAGUAAUAGCCUGAACUCUGUUUAUUUCCUACCAAAACAGAACACACUCGCUACCCCGACAAUUCUCCACCCUCCCAAUAAGGCAGAUGAACUUUUCGUGGUGGCCAAGCAGGAUGAGAUGGUUUGGGGCUCCAGCGACUGCUCAAUAUGAGUGGCAGGUGUUAAAGUCUGGCAGCUCUGACCUUGGGUUAUGUCCUGGAAUUAGAUGCUAGAGAAUUUCCUUUUGGAUCCCUCUUUAGAUACAGUAGUUACAUUUGAGGCCUGCUUAGCAGUAGGUUAACCAAUCAUUAUGAACUAAAGUACUAAAUAAUAAUGAUUUGACCAGCCCUAACAUACUGCAAAACAGUUCCUUGCUCAACGAUUCCCCACCAACAUAGCUGAUGUACAUCUUGCAAAAUUAGUUAUGCAACAGACAGAAACAAUUGAAGAACCAGAGACCAUUCAGAUAAACAAGAGAGAAGUAGGGACUGUAAGGCGAACAAUGGAAGUAGAGGGUUCACAAUCACCCCUGUAGCGAAGUGGCUCCUUGCUAGACAGAAUGCCGUCUGUUAUGCCCUUGGCUCUGGCUCUGAUUCUGCAGGGAUUGGUGCCGUUAGGACAGGAGCCUUUGUCACAGCCCAACAGUAUGCUGUUUGGAGGUAAUUUAGAAGGACUGUGAGGCUGUGCUCUUGUUCUGAAGAUGAUGGCAAUGUUCUCUCCUUGAUCACAGGGAGUGCCCAGUCCUGCUGCCAUCUGGAGAGAUGGGUCAGACUUACAUCCCUGGAGGAAAACCUCCCUUCCCUAGAAGGGGGCAGUCCAAGCCCCUGGUCCAAAAUUGGAGGUUCCACAAGCAGGAACAAAUGGAUCCCACUCCAGAUGACAGGUGCUUGGUUUGGGCUGUUAUACAGAGACAUCCAGCUGCGUGUGCUGAUCCCUGGUUUUGUGUGGGCCCUUUCCCCUUAAAGCACAUCACCCUAAGGGCCUGGGGUAACCAGGCACUAAUGUGAAUGUGCCAGAGCAGUGAUUCUGGGCCUGCCCAGUGUCAAGGGAUGGAGUCAAACCCACCUGACAUUAUUAACUAGCAGCGGGAUGGAAAUCAUUAAUUCCUGUGCUAGCAGCUGCCAAGUUAGCUGGGGAAGAGCAGGCUGCCACUGUUGGGAGGCAGCACCCAAAACAACAGUGCAGUUGUGGGCAGGCCCCACCCUACUGCACCCCCAGGAUCAUGCCCAUUAACACAUCUGACCAAGCUGAAUAGUUGGGGAUUCCUGCCUCUCCAACAACACUGCGGCAGGUCAGUGGACUGCCUGCCUUCCACCAUAAGGCCACAUGGACUUUUCUCUUCCACCCAACCACUCAAUGUGAGUAUGCACCCCCGCUCGCUUGCAGAGCUGGCUCCUCUUGUGGAAGCAGGGGAAGCCAAGAGCAUCUUUCUCCUGGUUUUACAUUGCUUUGCUGGGCCUCUCCAUACCGUAACCAUGGUUCAUGGUCCAGAUCCAAGCAGCUCCUUCAACUACGUAGCUUGGAGGUAACAGUGUAUCCUGGUAAUUAAAACCUACUAAUCUAAUAAACAAUUUUUAAAAAAGCCGGAAACUGCCUCUUCUCAGCUGAGCUCCCUGGAGGGUGGUACUGCAAUGACAGAAUUCUGUGGUCAAUGCAUGGUCUAUUUAUUUCCUUUUUCUAAUGAUGCAUCGUACUGAAGAGUUGUCGCCCACAUCUCCUCGUGCAGAGCUACGUCUGUAUUUUCUCACAAGUCGUAUAGUUUUGCUGGUGUCCUACAGCAAAGUCUUUGAGGUAUUAUGAGAGAUCUCUUUCCUUUGCAUAUCCAUAAAGAA